rnacentral:rRNA from 1 species
GGAUGAACGCUGGCGGUCUGCUUAACACAUGCAAGUCGAACGGGCUCUUCGGAGCUAGUGGCGGACGGGUGAGUAACGCGUGAGAAUCUGCCUUCAGGAGGGGGAUAACGACUGGAAACGGUCGCUAAUACCCCAUAUGCCUCCGGGUGAAAAGUAAUUCGCCUGAAGAUGAGCUCGCGUCAGAUUAGCUAGUUGGUGGGGUAAGAGCCUACCAAGGCGACGAUCUGUAGCUGGUCUGAGAGGAUGAUCAGCCACACUGGGACUGAGACACGGCCCAGACUCCUACGGGAGGCAGCAGUGGGGAAUUUUCCGCAAUGGGCGCAAGCCUGACGGAGCAAGACCGCGUGGGGGAUGACGGCCUAAUGGUUGUAAACCCCUUUUCUCUGGGAAGAAGACUGACGGUACCAGAGGAAUCAGCCUCGGCUAACUCCGUGCCAGCAGCCGCGGUAAUACGGAGGAGGCAAGCGUUAUCCGGAAUUAUUGGGCGUAAAGCGUCCGUAGGUGGUUAUUCAAGUCUGCUGUCAAAGCGUGGGGCUUAACUCCAUAGAGGCAGUGGAAACUGAGUGACUAGAGUGCGGUAGGGGUCGAGGGAAUUCCCAGUGUAGCGGUGAAAUGCGUAGAUAUUGGGAAGAACACCAGUGGCGAAAGCGCUCGACUGGGCCUGCACUGACACUGAGGGACGAAAGCUAGGGGAGCGAAAGGGAUUAGAUACCCCUGUAGUCCUAGCCGUAAAACGAUGGAUACUUAGGUGUUGCUCGUCAUCGACCCGAGCAGUGCCGUAGCCAACGCGUU